CCUACGGGAGGCUGCAGUGGGGAAUUUUGGACAAUGGGGGCAACCCUGAUCCAGCAACGCCGCGUGAAUGAAGAAGGCCUUCGGGUUGUAAAGUUCUUUUAUUGAGUCAUGAGUAUAGGAAGAAUAAGCACCGGCUAACUACGUGCCAGCAGCCGCGGUAAUACGUAGGGUGCGAGCGUUAAUCGGAAUUACUGGGCGUAAAGGGUGCGCAGGCGGAUAUGUAAGUUAGAUGUGAAAUCCCAGAGCUUAACUUUGGAAUAGCAUUUAAGACUGCAUGUCUAGAGUUUGUGAGAGGGGGGUAGAAUUCCAAGUGUAGCAGUGAAAUGCGUAGAGAUUUGGAGGAAUACCGAUGGCGAAGGCAGCCCCCUGCUAAAACUGACGCUCAGGCACGAAAGCGUGGGUAGCAAACAGGAUUAGAUACCCUGGUAGUC
rnacentral:rRNA from 1 species